AGUAAAUAAAAUUUUUGAUUAUACUGCAUAUGUGACUUUUAAGGAAGCUUAUGCCCUGGGAACUGCAUUAUUGCUUAAUGGUUCGAUGAUUUUGGACCAAAGCAUUUCCAUUUCACGUUGGGAAGCUUAUACAGAUGACAAUAAUUGGAACAGGCAUAACGUUGAAGACAGUAUUACAUGCUCUCAAAUUGCUAUAACAUCUUACGGAUUGGGCGUGUUAAUGUGAUCGGAGACGUUAUCUUAUUCCUCGAAAAACUAUGUGUCAGCCUCUCAAGUGCUGUUUUCGCUUUCCUCAUGUUAGACACUCAAAUACAAAUCCGCGCAUAACAAGAUUUCAUCUCCGUUCUUUCCUGUCAUGUUAUGUUUUUAUUACCUAACAUCACCAUAAUCGAUAACAAUCACCAUAAAAAUACAUUCUGCAUAAGCAUGCUUAACACACAGUUUUAAUCU